AAGCGGUGGAGCAUGUGUUAAUUCGACGCAACGCGAAGAACCUUACCAGGGCUUGACAUCCCCUGACCGCGUAUGAAAGUACGUUUUCACCCUCGGGUGACAGGGAGACAGGUGGUGCAUGGUUGUCGUCAGCUCGUGUCGUGAGAUGUUGGGUUAAGUCCCGCAACGAGCGCAACCCCUACGUUUAGUUGCUAACGCGUGAAGGCGAGCACUCUAGACGAACUGCCGUUGACAAAACGGAGGAAGGUGGGAUGACGUCAAAUCAUCAUGCCCCUUAUGUUCUGGGCUACACACGUGCUACAAUGGCCGGUACAGACGGACGCAAAGCCGCGAGGUGGAGCAAAUCCUAAAAAGCCGGUCUCAGUUCGGAUUGCAGGCUGCAAUUCGCCUGCAUGAAGUCGGAAUCGCUAGUAAUCGCAGGUCAGCAUACUGCGGUGAAUACGUUCCCGGGCCUU
rnacentral:rRNA from 1 species